rnacentral:lncRNA from 1 species
AAAAAAAUAAUUUUUUUAAUUUUUUUCUGAAUUAUACUAUUUCGAAAUUCAAACCCUAAACCCUAAAACUCAACUCUAAACCUUAAACCAUCAAUCCUAAACCUUUUUUUUUUAAUUACGAACCCUAAACCCUAAACCAUAAAUCUUAAACCCUAUUUUUUUAAAUAAACCCUAAACCCAGAAACAUCAACUCUAAACCCUAAACCCCGAAACAUCAACUUUAAACCCAACUCUAAACUAAACUCUAAACCCUAAAAUAUCAACUCUAAACCCUAAACCCAAAACUUCAGCUCUAAACCCUAAACUAUCAACACUAAACCCUAAACCCUAAAAAGUAAACUCUAAACCCUAAACCCUAAAAAAUUAACCCGAAACCCUAAAACAUCAACUCUAAACCCUAAACCCUAAACCUUCAACUCUAAACCCUAAACCCUAAAUCCUAAACCCUAAACCUUAAA